rnacentral:misc_RNA from 1 species
AUGCAUUAUAUUACAGGCCGGAUAUAUUUGUAGUGAGCGAGACCGCUGCAUUCCAAACUCAAUAUAUAUACUGCCUGUAACAGUAUUAUUCUUAUUACAUCACUUGGAGGACCAUUAAUCUGAGACAUCUUGGCAGCAGCAGCAGCAGCUAGCUAGCCAGCCAAGAACAUCGUCCCGUUUGCAUUGGACGCAUCCUCUCAAAACAGGAGCAAGGGGGAGAAGAGAACGGGGGGAGAGGGGAGAGAGAAUGAAAAAUAAUACAGCUAGCUAGCUAGGAGAUCUAUAGAUUAGUAGUAGUAGCCGGCACUAGUACGUUAAGAUACCUAGAGAUAUUUUUUAUAUAUAUCUCGGACCAUGAAGCCUCAAUUCCCCACAACAACAGCUCAAAACCAUCUGCGUCGUCGUCUCUUUUCCUCCUGGUGCUCAGCUCAGCUCAGCUCAUAUGGACCGAGACCGAGCAAGAGCGGAGAGUUCCAGCCGGCAGGCAGUGGGAGCCAACGCGCGCGUGUGCACACGCGCCCUUGCGCUUCUCCUAUCUGUGCGGGUGCGGGUGCGGCCGCACGUUUUCUCUCUUGUCGGCGCACAUUAUUGGCCAGCUGCUACUCCGUCUAGUAGAGCUCGCCAUGAGCUGAGGUGUAGAUGGGACUGUGGGAGGGAGAGAGGGAGGGAGAGGCCUGCGAUGCAAGAGGCCCAGAGGGAGCGCUCUGAGGUGCUGAAGAUGGAGGAAGCAGAGACUGAAGAGCACGGGUGGGUGGUGCUUUAUAUACAAAUCCGGCUCCGAUCCUCACAUGGCCGCAAGAAGGGGGCAGAGAGAGGGAGAGAAAGCGAUGGGGGUUUAACAAUGGUCUGUGGCCUGGGCCUGGCCUUGCAUUGUGGAAGCAUGGAGAAUGGGAAGCAUGUUUGUGGGGAACGCACUUGCACGGC